GGUGCUAGAGCGUUUCCCCCUAACGCAGAAAAGGAGAGGAGGACCUUGACACGACGAUUGGCGGCUAGUGUCGUUCGUGAACAACAUCGCGCGUGAAGAGGAGAAGGAAGGGAGAAAACCUGACGCCACGACUGGCAGUCCUUUCAACGGUGAGCAACGGUGCUGGCGGCGACUGGUUUCGGUGGUGGUUGCAGCGACGAGGAUGCGAGGUGGAGAGGCGAGAACAUUUCUCUCUCGCCCCUGAAGAGGAACAUGAAAAGAAGCCCAGACGACAGUGAUGGGAGGCUUUCGCCUCGGCCGGCGAUGGAUGCUUGAAGAUGGUGGUGACUUGGAGGUUGGUGGCCAUGGAUGUUGGCUUGCGAACUAGGGUUUAUGACAAGUGCGUUGUUAUCUUCUGAUUUUGUGGUUUGAUUUUGUUGAUCUGGAAUUAGGUUUUUGGUAGUGUUCUGGGUUUUUGUACUGUUCUGGGUUUCGUUGCAGGUGC
rnacentral:lncRNA from 1 species